rnacentral:tRNA from 2 species
GCCACCGUAGCUCAAUCGGCAGAGCACCGCUUUCGUAAAGCGGGGGUUGAUGGUUCGACUCCAUUCGGUGGCU